rnacentral:rRNA from 1 species
GACGAACGCUGGCGGCGUGCUUAACACAUGCAAGUCGAACGGAAAGGCCCCUUUGGGGGUACUCGAGUGGCGAACGGGUGAGUAACACGUGAGUAACCUGCCCUUGACUUCGGGAUAACUUCAGGAAACUGGGGCUAAUACCGGAUAGGAAUCCUUGCUGCAUGGUGGGGGUUGGAAAGCUUCGGCGGUUUUGGAUGGACUCGCGGCUUAUCAGCUUGUUGGUGGGGUAGUGGCUUACCAAGGCUUUGACGGGUAGCCGGCCUGAGAGGGCGACCGGCCACAUUGGGACUGAGAUACGGCCCAGACUCCUACGGGAGGCAGCGGUGGGGAAUAUUGCACAAUGGGCGGAAGCCUGAUGCAGCAACGCCGCGUGCGGGAUGACGGCCCUCGGGUUGUAAACCGCUUUCAGCAGGGGCGAAGCUUGUGGUGACGGUACCUGCAGAAGAAGCACCGGCUAACUACGUG